rnacentral:rRNA from 1 species
GGCUCAGGACGAACGCUGGCGGCGUGCUUAACACAUGCAAGUCACGGGGCCCGCAAGGGCAACCGGCGAACGGGUGCGUAACACGUGAACAACCUGCCCUCGUGUGGGGGAUAGCCGGGCUAACGCCCGGGUAAUACCGCAUACGUUCUCUUGGGGGAGUCCCUGGGAGAGGAAAGCUCCGGCGCACGGGGAGGGGUUCGCGGCCUAUCAGCUAGUUGGCGGGGUAAUGGCCCACCAAGGCGACGACGGGUAGCUGGUCUGAGAGGAUGGCCAGCCACAUUGGGACUGAGAGACGGCCCAGACUCCUACGGGAGGCAGCAGUGGGGAAUCUUGCGCAAUGGCCGAAAGGCUGACGCAGCGACGCCGCGUGUGGGAGGACGCCUUUCGGGGUGUAAACCACUGUUGCCCGGGACGAACAGCUUCUUUCGAGGAGCCUGACGGUACCGGGUGAGGAAGCACCGGCUAACUCCGUGCCAGCAGCCGCGGUAAUACGGAGGGUGCGAGCGUUGUCCGGAAUCAUUGGGCGUAAAGGGCGCGUAGGUGGCCCGGUCAGCGUGCGGUGAAAGCUCGGGGCUCAACCCCGAGUCGGCCGUGCGAACUGCUGGGCUCGAGCACUGUAGAGGCAGGCGGAAUUCCGGGUGUAGCGGUGGAAUGCGUAGAGAUCCGGAAGAACACCGGUGGUGAAGGCGGCCUGCUGGGCAGUGGCUGACACUGAGGCGCGACAGCGUGGGGAGCAAACAGGAUUAGAUACCCUGGUAGUCCACGCCGUAAACGAUGGGCACUAGGCGCUUGGGGGAGCGACCCCCCGAGGGCCGGCGCUAACGCAUUAAGUGC